CCACAUUGGGACUGAGACACGGCCCAAACUCCUACGGGAGGCAGCAGUGGGGAAUAUUGGACAAUGGGCGCAAGCCUGAUCCAGCCAUGCCGCGUGAGUGAUGACGGCCUUAGGGUUGUAAAGCUCUUUCGCUCGGGACGAUAAUGACGGUACCGAGAUAAGAAGCCCCGGCUAACUUCGUGCGAGCAGCCGCGGUAAUACGAAGGGGGCUAGCGUUGUUCGGAAUUACUGGGCGUAAAGCGCGUGUAGGCGGGUCUUUAAGUCAGGGGUGAAAUGCCAGGGCUCAACCUUGGAACUGCCCUUGAUACUGGAGAUCUUGAGUCCGAGAGAGGUGAGUGGAAUUGCGAGUGUAGAGGUGAAAUUCGUAGAUAUUCGCAAGAACACCAGUGGCGAAGGCGGCUCACUGGCUCGGAACUGACGCUGAGACGCGAAAGCGUGGGGAGCAAACAGGAUUAGAUACCCUGGUAGUCCACGCUGUAAACGAUGGAUGCUAGCCGUUGGGGAGCUUGCUCUUCAGUGGCGCAGCUAACGCUUUAAGCAUCCCGCCUGGGGAGUGCGGUCGCAGAUUAAA
rnacentral:rRNA from 1 species